UCCUACGGGAGGCAGCAGUGGGGAAUAUUGGACAAUGGGCGCAAGCCUGAUCCAGCCAUACCGCGUGGGUGAAGAAGGCCUUCGGGUUGUAAAGCCCUUUUGUUGGGAAAGAAAAGCGAUCGGUUAAUACCCGGUUGUUCUGACGGUACCCAAAGAAUAAGCACCGGCUAACUUCGUGCCAGCAGCCGCGGUAAUACGAAGGGUGCAAGCGUUACUCGGAAUUACUGGGCGUAAAGCGUGCGUAGGUGGUGGUUUAAGUCCGUUGUGAAAGCCCUGGGCUCAACCUGGGAAUUGCAGUGGAUACUGGGUCACUAGAGUGUGGUAGAGGAUAGUGGAAUUUCCGGUGUAGCAGUGAAAUGCGUAGAGAUCGGAAGGAACAUCUGUGGCGAAGGCGACUAUCUGGGCCAACACUGACACUGAGGCACGAAAGCGUGGGGAGCAAACAGGAUUAGAUACCCUGGUAGUCCACGCCCUAAACGAUGCGAACUGGAUGUUGGGUUCAACUUGGAACCCAGUAUCGAAGCUAACGCGUUAAGUUCGCCGCCUGGGGAGUACGGUCGCAAGACUGAAACUCAAAUGAAUUGACGGA
rnacentral:rRNA from 1 species